rnacentral:rRNA from 1 species
CGCUUACCACUUUGUGAUUCAUGACUGGGGUGAAGUCGUAACAAGGUAACCGUAGGGGAACCUGCGGUUGGAUCACCUCCUUACCUUAAAAAAGC